rnacentral:misc_RNA from 1 species
AAAAAAAAAAAAAAAAAAAACUGUCUUCUAAUCUAAUUUAAUGUCCAAUAAAAAUCAUUAUAUUUCCUUUUCACUUAGCUGCCUCCAAAACUCAACUUUAACUGGGAUUUCCAAGAUCUUUCAAUUUUAGAGGCAGCUUGUUCUGUAGGAUGGCAUUACAUUCUUCUGUUAGAGCAACUAUCUCAUAGUCCUCUGGUCUCCUUUUCUUGGAGAGGAUUUCCUUUAAGAAUUUUGUAUAGGAGGGCAUUUGAGAUAACACUUCUGUAAAAGGAAUAUUGAUAUAGAGCUUUUGCAAAACCUCUAAAAAUUUCCCAAGCUGCUUGUCCAAUUUAACUUUCUAGAAUUUCUGAGGAGAAGUUAGGGGGGGCUGGUAAGGUUCUGGUAGUUUCUUUUUCUUCUUUUCCCCCUCUUCUUUGCUUUCCUUAGCUUGCUUAUCUUCUUCCUCUUCUUGAAUAGCAGGAUUUCUAGGAGUUUCUUCUUUCUGUUUUUGCUUUUCUUCUGGUUCUUGUAAUGUUCUCCCACUCCUCAAUGUGACAGCUUUGCAAUGUUCUUUGGGAUUCAUCUCAGGUUGACUAGGUAACUUUCCACCUUGUUUGCUUGAAGAACUGGCCUGCUGAGCGAUCUGAUUUUCAAGCAUUUUAUUAUGGGUGGCCAGUUGAUCAACUUUGGAAGUUAGUUGCUUGAUCAUCUUAUUUUGCUGUUGCUGUGCUGCUAAAAAGCUCUCCAUCAUAGACUCUAUAGUCAACUUUGAUUCUACCUGUUGAGGUUGAGGGAGUGGUAGUUGUUGAUGCAUCAAAUUAUACUCUCUGUUCUGGAAUCCUGGUGGUGGUUGCCUAUAUCCUUGCUGUUUGUUUAUGGGUUAAUUCUGAGAAUUCUACAAGUUGGACCAAGAGAAGUUUGGGUGGUUCCUCCAUCCAGGGUUAUAUGUGUUGGAAUAUGGGUUAUUGACCUGCCUCUAGUUGAAGUUUUCUCCAUUAUUUACAUAGUUCAGCUGCUCUAUGGAAGGCUCGCUAUAAAGACUGCAUUCUGAAGUUGUAUAAUCUCCUCCACAACUACCGUAGAAUUGGUUACUUGCUCCUAUUACAUUGGCCUGCAUUCUAUCAAGUCUUUUAGUGAGUUAGUCAAACUGAGCAUUAGCAGUACAGCAAUAGCAAAAUUCUAUUGCUAGGCAUCCAAUUCUGAGCGUUAGCAGCACAGCAAUAGUCAAACUGAGCGUUAGCAGCACUGGCAU